CAAAAGUGAGGCUGGGGAGA
rnacentral:miRNA from 1 species